rnacentral:lncRNA from 1 species
CUUAAUUCCCACCUCUUCAAACUGCUAGAGCCACAGACAAUCCUGGAAUACCCCAAAAGAGAGGAGGCACACCAAUCAAUAAGAAGUGUUUCCAGCUGUAUCUACGAAAUGUCUCUCCAGAAUCACUGACAAUUCGGUUCACAUCAUAUGGCAAUUAGAUAAUUUUCUGAUGACUUUUAACUUACCUCCUCUCUUUUGACUUCUCCCUACACCAUAUCAGUGUCCAAAGUGUUGCCAAAACCACUUCGAAAAUGCACAUCUGUUUCUGUCUCUCCCUUAUAUUAUGCCUUCAAAUCAUGACUUCUUAAAAUGAUAUAAGGAAUUUUUACAGUUGGGUAAAAAAUUAAGUUGGAGCCUCCUUUAUAAUUGUUCCUGUACAUUUGCCAUCCCUCCAGACUUAAAGAAUAAAUUGAAGAACUUUGUACAGAAUAUUGACUUUCCUGUUGAUGUGCCAUCAUUUAGUACAGGAGAAACAACUCAGUGUAUACCUAUCUGCAAACUUUUCUAAUGAUAAUUUGUGCCUAUAGUCCUAUACUGAUGUGAAGUGUGAAAAAAUAUAUACCAGGAGAAACAAAGGAGAAUGGCACCAUAUAAUUGGUAGAUUUUCAUCCCAUAGUUUAUUUUCGUAUUUGCCUGCAAGGUCUUUUUUCAUACACUAAAUCAAGCCCUGCCUGUUUUUUUUGUAGAUAGAACUUUUUUCCACCAAUUGUAUAAUUUA